rnacentral:lncRNA from 1 species
GCCAAUCAGAGAACACGGUAUAUUGACUAUGCACGUUAUCAACCAAAAUGGCCUCCGAGUAACGGGACGCUUUCGACAAGAUUUGAGUGGGGAUAACCUCAACACAAGUCGAAAUCUUCAUCUUUGCGCCGUCGAAAGGCCCAUCACAAGUCGUUUGUCAUACACUGAACUCGAUCCUGUCAGCCUUGGAUAGCAAAAUCGCUAUGACAGUCCGUCUGUAACGCAGUCACAGGGAAGAUGUGUGCGUGAAUGGAUAUACGGAAUACCACUACCCCCAGCAUAGAUUAUCACAGCUCGCUUUCAUCCGAUGAUGCUCAGUGCGUCGUCGUCGUCGUAGCUGGGAGGGGAGUGAUCCAGUAUGGAAUGAUUGAAGUCCAUUUGCUCUAAGUUUCCCAGCAAGAUCUGUGUGCACAGUGGCAGCAAGAGGGGUGCAGAACUGCAGAUGCAAAAGGAGAGGCGCGAACUUGACCAUCCAAGAGGUGCAAUGUCUUGUCCUUGCUCUUGAGUUUGGUCUUGGAUAGCAUUAAAGGAUAUUGCUGAAUCAUGUUGAAAAAGACUGAAUAAUGAAACACAAAGACAAACUGAGACAUCUGGAAUAACAUGGUGUGAGAAAAUCCAUGGUUUUAAAGAGUUCUCUUGAAUAGAUAAUAUGCUAGAUGUUGACAAGCAAAGAAAAACAGGACCGCCCGUCGCACGUUGAAUUCAAUCAAUAUUCUGAAAUCAAAUAUUUUAUCAGAUGAGGAUCAUUUGAUUUCAGCGUAAAAACCACAAGUUAUCUGAGAAGACAUACUUGUACAGUGUUCAUGUUCCUCUCAAAACUCUACUUCAAUGUUCCUCUUCCACGCCAGUAGGGAAGCAGUGCAACCAAACAGGUACAUGUAGAGUUUUCAAAAACAGUAAUCGAUCUUCUCUCAGCUCCUCUCACGAUUGUAAGCACCCCAUCGUCAGAUCCAUCGACCAGAUGUUGAAGUAAUCUGCGGUUUAUUCAUCCCUGGAAUGAUAUUAAUCUUCGGUUUGUCGUUGACGCAAGCCACGACUCCUUCAGAUCUGAACCUCGCCACCGGUGUUCGGAGCGUCCGAGAAGUUUUGCGGUCUUUCUGCGUGCUGGAAGUCGUCGGCAUGGAAGAUGCAGAGAUAUGAGGCGAGGCGCACAAAGCUCCAAUCGUGGAUCACGCACCCACCCGAUCUUUCUUUCUCGUGAUAUGAGGUAAAAGGAAGCCAAUAUGUCGGCUGCAGCUUCAGGAAAAAUAUGGAAUCGCCUCAAAGAUCGCGUUAACCGCAAUGGAAUUGUACGCCGCAUAAGCAUCAGACGGAGUAGUCGCGUGAAAAAAUAUUCCCUGGAUUACGAGGAGCGAGGUCCGGAAGAUGGACCGAUUAGCGAGUGAGUUUUGAUACAUUUUUCACCAGAAUGCUGCAUCCAACUGCACUUUAAUCUCCUCAUUUAACUGAUCACAGUUUUUAUCCCAUCAACUAACCAAUUUAUUUUUUCAUCACACUAAUUAGAUUAUUUCAUUCUUACCUCAGUAUUUUAUUAACAAGUUCAUUUAUAUUAUUUCUGCCUGCCUUGUAAAUUACUAACUAACAUACUUAUCUAUUCAUUUUACUUUGUUUUGAACCACAUCAACAUGCUUUGACUAUAAGUCUAUCUAUGAGUCGGAGCCCAACCACCAUAACCGAUGUACCACCACCACCACCACCACCACCACCACCACCAUAAUCGAUAUCACUACCAUAAGUAUCGAUCAUUAACAAAGUAAUUUAUUAUUAUUUAUCUGAUUUCACAUCAAACUAAUUGCAUCUUUUUCACCUCUGUUUUAGCCAUUAUAUUUUGUUU